AGAGUUUGAUCAUGGCUCAGGAUGAACGCUGGCGGCGUGCCUAACACAUGCAAGUCGAGCGGGAAAUUUCAAGCGGAACCUUCGGGGGAAGCAUGGAAUGGAGAGCGGCGGACGGGUGAGUAACGCGUAGGCAACCUGCCCUUUGCAGGGGGAUAGCCACUGGAAACGGUGAUUAAAACCCCAUAAUACAGCUUAGUCACAUGAAUAAGCUGCCAAAGAUUUAUCGGCAAAGGAUGGGCCUGCGUCUGAUUAGCUAGUUGGUGGGGUAACGGCUCACCAAGGCGACGAUCAGUAGCCGACCUGAGAGGGUGAUCGGCCACAUUGGAACUGAGACACGGUCCAAACUCCUACGGGAGGCAGCAGUGGGGAAUAUUGCACAAUGGGGGAAACCCUGAUGCAGCAACGCCGCGUGAAGGAAGAAGGCCUUUGGGUCGUAAACUUCUGUCCCUGGGGAAGAUAAUGACGGUACCCAAGGAGGAAGCCCCGGCUAACUACGUGCCAGCAGCCGCGGUAAUACGUAGGGGGCAAGCGUUAUCCGGAAUUAUUGGGCGUAAAGAGUGCGUAGGCGGUUUUUUAAGCGCGGGGUGAAAGGCAAAGGCUUAACCAUUGUUAGCCCUGCGAACUGGGAGACUUGAGUGCAGGAGAGGAAAGCGGAAUUCCUAGUGUAGCGGUGAAAUGCGUAGAUAUUAGGAGGAACACCAGUGGCGAAGGCGGCUUUCUGGACUGUAACUGACGCUGAGGCACGAAAGUGUGGGGAGCAAACAGGAUUAGAUACCCUGGUAGUCCACACCGUAAACGAU
rnacentral:rRNA from 1 species